rnacentral:rRNA from 1 species
AGAAUCAACGCUGGCGGCGUGCCUAACACAUGCAAGUCGAACGAGAAAGUGGAGCAAUCCAUGAGUAAAGUGGCGACCGGGUGAGUAACACGUGACUAACCUACCUUUGAGUGGGGGAUAACAUCGGGAAACCGAUGCUAAUACCGCAUAACAUCGCAAGAUCAAAGCAGCAAUGCGCUUAAAGAGGGGGUCGCGGCUGAUUAGCUAGUUGGCGGGUAACGCCCACAAGGCGAAGAUCGGUA